UGGAAGUGCGGUUUGGAAGCGGUACACAUCUGAAGGGGGGCUACCUACGUGUUGGGGUAGUUUGGUGCAUGGGAAAGAAAACUGGGCGUGCCCAUAGGAUGUGUGUAGAGGAUAAUAGGUUUAUAGGAUGCAUGCCAAGAUGGAGAGGACGUAAGUGGGAGUUAGGUAGGUGUUUGCUGUGUAUGAAAAUAGAGCUGUAACUGACUGAUCAGGGAGGCAAGAUGUGAGGAGACUCCUGCUGCAAGAAGAGGUAUUGAUACUCAUGCUACUAUUCUCAACACUGACUUUUGGCAUGGAAAGAGCAAUCCCCACAUCGACCUGUGCUUCAGUAUUCUAGAAGAGGAGAGCAGCUUCCCACUACUGUUUCAAGGCCACUGCUAUAGAGCAUCUUUCCUUACCUGAAGAUGUUGAGCUGGAAGAUCUUAUGACAGUGCAUUUGAUGUUGACUGUAACUGUCUCUGCACUGCAGACAAUUACAUCCCUUUUGGUGCCUACUGUAGUGACUUCAGCAUUGCUUCCAUUGUCUUGGAUUCCAGUGUUGGGUCCACAAUGUUUGUCUGCAAAAGAGAGUGAAGAUCAAUGGGCUUCGGUUUUGGUAUUGGAGAAUUUUUAUUACUCUGAAGAUGACUCUACCUACACUAAUAACCUUCAGAGCCAUUGGGAGAUAAUGCAGUGUGGCUUAGGAAGUUAUCAUCUUCCUCAGAAGACUUAGAAAACCACAGUCUUCAUAACCUGGACACAACAAAGACUCCUGAUCUACUCAUUAAAAAACCUCCAUACAAACUGAGGACCCUGUGUUUAAAUUUGUGCAUACCUUUUCCUCUUCUUGCUCUGUAGCUUUCCCUGUGCUGCCAUAUUUGGUUUAAACAGCCAAGCAAAUUCGCAUUAAGCCUCCUUCUGUUUUCAAAUCUACCUCUGGGAGAUUUGAAAAUAUGUAUAGCCUGCAGGUGGAGGAGUGUACUUUUACCUCGUCCUUACCUCUAUAGUGCUCGGCCAUAUUUGAUAGUGCAUACUUAUAGUGCUCGGCCAUACCAGUUGCAGACCCUCAGCACCGGUGGACAAGUAGAGUCAUAAACUGGACUCUCUGGGAAAGAGAUUUUAAUUCCACUUCAUCUCUUUCUAUCUGUAUUGCCAACUUUAUGUAAUAUAUGUCAAAAUUCUAACAUUCCCUUUGGGAGCAGUUACGAGGACACCUUUACUUCUGUCUGGAAGAUUUAAAGAAGUAUUUUCUGACUUUGUGCUAAGUCAGAGGAUCUGGCGAACAACUGAUUCGGAAUAUGAACCAUUCACUGGACUGUGAAUCUAAGAAUCUGGUGUGGACAGUGGUGUUGAGUUGUCAUGCCUGGUUCUGUUCUUCCUCAUUACCAGACAUCAGAGAAAGGAUUGAGGAUCUCCUUUUCAAUGGCAAUGGUCUGGUUAGCGCCUAAACUGACAAGAUGUUGGAGAAGCUAAAAAGUCAAAAUUUACAGUACUCAACAAUUCAACUCAAUUCAGAUUGUAAAUGUAGUAAAUUGCUUCACUUCUUCCUUCUUUAUUUUGAAUACAGUGCAGAGAUGUUUCCAGUCUUCUGCAUCUUACAUUUUAUCCAGCACUCUUCCUGUGUUAUGAAAUAGCCUGUGAAUAAUGUCAAAAGACAGAUAGUUAUGCCAGCUAACAGGCAUGUGGCCACACUGUGCACUUCCAGGGCCUCCAGAGACUCACUCCUGCUUCCCCCCACACCUUUGGGGAGCACUGGAGUUGCUCAUCCACCCACACUCUCUCCACACUGGGUGCAUUGCCCUUUUGCCCGCUGCACUGGGUACUUCGUUCAUGCACCAUUGGAGUUUGGUUGGGUGAGCAGAGAAAGAACACAUUUGCCCCUAUCCCAACGGUGCGUGGAUGAAGCGCUGAGUGCAGCAAACAGAUGAGCGCAGCAUGCCUGUCUUGCUACUAGUGACCAUGCCCCUUGCAUAUAUUGUCAUAUGUAGGGGUGUGGCCAUCACCACAGGGGCGGGGCCACCAAUCAAAAUCUUCACAGCUGCCGGCGAGCUCCCUACACCCCGUCAGCUUAUAUUGAUGGAGCUAAGUUGAUGAGUUGGACACUAGCUAAAAAAUCAAACCAAGAGCUAACUUACCUUCAUUAAAAAUUGUUUUGAAUUUUGUAUGCAGAACAUAUUUUGUCACACUGCAUAUUUUAAUGUAUUUAAUAUAUGCAGUGCAUGCUGUAUAUGUAUAUAGCUCUCUCACAUGCAUGCACAUACCAGUUGUUCAGUUGGCUGUGAAGGCUGGAUUCCUGAACAGCCCCAGUGUAUCUAGAGCUACUUGUAGUUGGAAGAAGGGCUGUUAAAGCUAGCCAGGAACAAUACAAGGGGAGACGAACAGAAAGCUGUUUGGAGUGAAUUCAAGAUUAAGAACUUUGAGAGCAGUUAGCACCUGGAUAGCAGACUAAUCAGGUACACAGGUUACUUGGUCAUAGUAUUCUCCACUAUGGUGAGCUGUAUUGUAUUUCUAUUUAAAUUAACAGUAAUCAUCUCUAAACUUCCAUUUAUACAUUGUUUUAUCCUUUGUCCUCCUUUUUUUUUUUUUUUUGGCAAUGUGCACUUGGCUACCCUAGCUAUCAUAGGUAGGUUCUAUGGUAGAUUGUGCAAUUUUAAGUAGGAGCAGAUUUAUUUAUUUAUUCAUUCAGUUUCUAUACCAUCCUUCCAAAAAUGGCUCAGGGUGGUUUACACAUAAAAAUAAUAAAUAAAUGAGAUGGAUCCCUGUCCCCAAAGGGCUCACAAUCUAAAAAGAAACAUUAGAUAGACACCAGCAACAGUCACUGGAGGUACUAUGCUGGGGGGUGGAUAGGACCAGUUAUGCUCCCCCUAAAUAAAGAGAAUCACCACGUUUAAAGGUGCCUCUUUGCCAAGUUAGCAGGGGUUAAUGAGCCCUGUUCUUGCUUUAAAUGAGCUUUAGAUGAGCCCUGUUCUUGCUUUAAAAUCCCCGCAGUGGCAUGGGCAGUUCAGAAUCAACCACAUUGAGUGUUGUACAACAUGUCUGCCAAGAACAAUAACACGUUUCAAGGACAGCCUAGGCAACUCAGACUUCUGCAUUUACAAAUGUGAACAAUAUAUGUAACACUUGAGAUUAUUUUGUUUAAUAAACUAAAAGUGUUGUUU